rnacentral:rRNA from 1 species
CAGCAGCCGCGGGAAUACGGAGGGUGCAAGCGUUAAUCGGAAUUACUGGGCGUAAAGCGCACGCAGGCGGUCUGACAAGUCAGAUGUGAAAUCCCCGGGCUUAACCUGGGAACUGCAUUUGAAACUGUCAGGCUGGAGUCUUGUAGAGGGGGGUGGAAUUCCAGGUGUAGCGGUGAAAUGCGUAGAGAUCUGGAGGAAUACCGGUGGCGAAGGCGGCCCCCUGGACAAAGACUGACGCUCAGGUGCGAAAGCGUGGGGAGCAAACAGGAUUAGAUACCCCUGUAGUCCCUGUCUCUCAUAC